UGUACAUAUGUGUGUUUUUGUGGUGGCAGGCAAUCAACUCCUGUGUUUAUAUUUAGCACUCUCUUAAGAAUCUUAUAAGGCAAGUCUGGUGGUAACAAAUUCCCUUAGUGUUUGCUUGUUUGAAAAAGAUUUUAUUUCUCCUCCACUUAAGAGGCUUGGUUUGUCUGAAUAUGAAAUUAUUGGUUGAAAUUUCUUUUCUUUAAAGAUGCUGAAUAUAGGACCCUAAUCUCUUCUGGCUCAUAAGGGUUCUGCUGAAAAGUCCACUAUAGCCUGGCGGAGUUGCCUUUGUACAUAACCUGCCCCUUAUUUCUAGCUGUCUUUAAGAUUUUUUUCUUCCACAUUGGUUUCGAAGAAUCUGAUGACUACGUGUCUUGGGGAUGGUCAGCUUGUAUAGUAUUUUACAGGGGUUCUCUGAAUUUCCUGAAUUUGCAUGUUGAUCACUCCAGCAAGGUUGGGGAAAUUUUCAUGACCAAUAUUCUCAAAUAUGUUUUCCAACUUGCUUGUUCUCUUUCCAUCUCUUUCAGGAACGACAACGAGUUACAGGUUUGGUCUCCUUACAUAAUCUCAUAUUUCUCAGAGCUUUUGUUCAUUUUUCAAACUCUUUUUUAUUUUUCUCUGCCUGCAUUGAUUCAAAAAAACAGUCUUUGAGUUCUGAGACUUUUUUUUCCUCAGUUUGAUCUAUUCAGUUAUUAAUGCCUCCAAUUGCAUUCUAAAAUUCCUGGAGUCAAUUUUUAAUCUCCAGACAUUCAGUUUGUUUCUUUCUUAAAAUGGAUGUGUACUCUUUCAACUCUUGGACUGUUUCACUGUGUUCUUGGGAUUGGGUUUCAAUCUUCUCCUGUAACUAUAUGUGGUUCCUUGUCAUUCAGCUCCUGAAUUCUAUAUCUGUAAUUUCAGCAAUUUCAUUCUGGUUAAGAACCAUUGCUGGGGAGCAAGUUGUAGUCAUUUAGACUCAAGAAGACACUCUGGCUUUAAGAAUCAUUAGAGUUCUUGCACUAGUUCUUAUCUGUGUGGACUGAUGCUCCUGUGGUAUUUGAAGCUGCUGUCUUUUGGAUGGGGCUCUUUGCUUUUCUAUUAUUUGAUGCUCUUGAGGUUUUCACUAUGGUAUAAAUUGGGUUUCAUGGAUUGGUUUCAAUUCUGAAUGCUUUUAUGGAGCCAAAGCUCAUCUCAGCACUCUUGGGCUGCAUGCUGUAAUCCUGGGGGGCUGGUAUUAGUCCUGUGGCUUUGCUCUCUGGCCCCUUGAGAUUAAGCACCUGCUGUGCUGGAGGGGCUGAGGUGUUCCCAGUUCACUUACAACAACACUCUGGCAGGGGCUGUUGGCAAAAUUGCUCCAGUGGGGCAGUGGGGGUCUCCACACACAUGUGCACCAAUGAAGGAGGCUGCAGGCGAGUACACAUCAGCAGGGGGAGGCUGAGGGUGGGUGUGCAAUGGCAGGGAAAGACUAUGGGCAGGUAUGCACUGACGGGGAGGAUGCAAGCAGGUAUGUGCUGGCAGGGGAGGUCAUGGUUGGAGUGUGCGCCAGCAGGGGGAGACAAUGGGUGGAUGCAUACUGGUAGGGGUCCACCAGGUCGUUUUCUUACUCCAAGUUUCAGUUUUGUUACCUGUACUAUAAAAUGACUGAACUGUAAUUUUUAAAGUUUUCUUAAGCAGAAAGACUUCAAUUAUUUUAUGUGAUGUGCCACUGGGCAGACUUGUAAAUGGAAGCUCAAGGAAUUCAGUGAGUUGUCUCUGGAAAAGAGUAGAGCAGCAGAUGCAUCUGUGUAAGAGGUAGUAACAUCCGAUGUUAUAUUCCUCCGUGUUGGGAGUUCACUGGCCACUCAAACUGCAGAGUCCACAAUUGCAGGCAGUGCUAUUCAGAUGGACUAAGAAUCAAAUGAAGACCCAGGAGUUGUGUGAUGUGAUGGCCUCAUAUAAAGGGAACCGAUGCCUUGAGGAAUCAGAUGUUUCAUGCUAAUUUAAAUUUUUGGCACCCAUAGGCUUCGAUUACAUGAAAUCUGAAAGAUUGCUUUCUAAAUAAUGACAACAGAUUUCCUGACAAUGCGAAGAACAGAUGUCACCAAGUUUCAGGUCUACAGAAAUUGCACAGAGAGUGCAGAGAGUAUAUACUAUAAAUAAGGCACCAGAUGUGAUUACUCAGGGAGAGCGAAGAGACAUGUAGAGCUUAAUUUCUGCCCAUGAGGCAGUAUUACAGUGUUUCCUAGAAUCAAGAAAUGCUGUAUGUGAGGGAAAACUGGGAGGGACUUCCCAGAUGAGUUGGCUCUUGGACUGGCCUUUGGAAAAUAAUGUAAAGGUACAACAGGUAUGAGAAAAAUUUUCAUGACAUGAAUGCUAUAAAACAUAUUUUUGAA